rnacentral:tRNA from 1 species
UAAACACUAGUAAAAUUCAUAACACUUCCUUGUCGAGGAAGAGUCGAGGGUUAAAGCCCCUCGUGUUUUG